CCGCGAUUCCGACAUUGUGU
rnacentral:misc_RNA from 1 species